GGGGUUGUGGCUCAGGGGUAGAGCACUCACCUAGCGUGUGUGAGGCACUGGGUUUGAUUCUCAGCACCA
rnacentral:tRNA from 1 species